rnacentral:rRNA from 1 species
AGUGAACGCUGGCGGUAGGCCUAACACAUGCAAGUCGAACGGCAGCACAGUAAGAGCUUGCUCUUACGGGUGGCGAGUGGCGGACGGGUGAGGAAUACAUCGGAAUCUACUUUUUCGUGGGGGAUAACGUAGGGAAACUUACGCUAAUACCGCAUACGACCUACGGGUGAAAGCAGGGGAUCUUCGGACCUUGCGCGAUUGAAUGAGCCGAUGUCGGAUUAGCUAGUUGGCGGGGUAAAGGCCCACCAAUGCGACGAUCCGUAGCUGGUCUGAGAGGAUGAUCAGCCACACUGGAACUGAGACACGGUCCAGACUCCUACGGGAGGCAGCAGUGGGGAAUAUUGGACAAUGGGCGCAAGCCUGAUCCAGCCAUACUGCGUGGGUGAAGAAGGCCUUCGGGUUGUAAAGCCCUUUUGUUGGGAAAGAAAAGCAGCAGGUUAAUACCCCGCUGUUCUGACGGUACCCAAAGAAUAAGCACCGGCUAACUUCGUG